GGGCGUUAAGUUGCAGGGUAUAGACCCGAAACCCGGUGAUCUAGCCAUGGGCAGGUUGAAGGUUGGGUAACACUAACUGGAGGACCGAACCGACUAAUGUUGAAAAAUUAGCGGAUGACCUGUGGCUGGGGGUGAAAGGCCAAUCAAACCGGGAGAUAGCUGGUUCUCCCCGAAAGCUAUUUAGGUAGCGCCUCGUGAAUUCAUCUCCGGGGGUAGAGCACUGUUUCGGCUAGGGGGCCAUCCCGGCUUACCAACCCGAUGCAAACUGCGAAUACCGGAGAAUGUUAUCACGGGAGACACACGGCGGGUGCUAACGUCCGUCGUGAAGAGGGAAACAACCCAGACCGCCAGCUAAGGUCCCAAAGUCAUGGUUAAGUGGGAAACGAUGUGGGAAGGCCCAGACAGCCAGGAUGUUGGCUUAGAAGCAGCCAUCAUUUAAAGAAAGCGUAAUAGCUCACUGGUCGAGUCGGCCUGCGCGGAAGAUGUAACGGGGCUAAACCAUGCACCGAAGCUGCGGCAGCGAGUGAAAAGCCCGCUCGCCGGAAGACCAAGGGUUCCUGUCCAACGUUAAUCGGGGCAGGGUGAGUCGACCCCUAAGGCGAGGCCGAAAGGCGUAGUCGAUGGGAAACGGGUUAAUAUUCCCGUACUUGGUGUUACUGCGAAGGGGGGACGG
rnacentral:rRNA from 1 species